AUUGAACGCUGGCGGCAGGCCUAACACAUGCAAGUCGAGCGGAUGAAGGGAGCUUGCUCCUGGAUUCAGCGGCGGACGGGUGAGUAAUGCCUAGGAAUCUGCCUGGUAGUGGGGGAUAACGUCCGGAAACGGGCGCUAAUACCGCAUACGUCCUGAGGGAGAAAGUGGGGGAUCUUCGGACCUCACGCUAUCAGAUGAGCCUAGGUCGGAUUAGCUAGUUGGUGGGGUAAAGGCCUACCAAGGCGACGAUCCGUAACUGGUCUGAGAGGAUGAUCAGUCACACUGGAACUGAGACACGGUCCAGACUCCUACGGGAGGCAGCGGUGGGGAAUAUUGGACAAUGGGCGAAAGCCUGAGCCAGCCAUGCCGCGUGUGUGAAGAAGGUCUUCGGAUUGUAAAGCACUUUAAGUUGGGAGGAAGGGCAGUAAGUUAAUACCUUGCUGUUUUGACGUUACCAACAGAAUAAGCACCGGCUAACUUCGU
rnacentral:rRNA from 1 species